rnacentral:rRNA from 1 species
GAUGAAUGCUGGCGGCGUGCCUAAUACAUGCUAGUCUAGCGAACGGACGAGAAGCUUGUUUCUCUGCUGUUAGCCGCGGACGGGUGAGUAAAACGUGGAUAACCUCCCUAUAAGACUGGGAUAACUUCGGGAAACCGUAGCUCAUCCCGGAUAAUUUUGUGAACCGCAUGGGUCAAAAGUGAACGCCGGUCUUGCUGUCACUUCUAUAUGGAUCAGCGCUGCAUUAGCUAGUUGGUAAGGUAACGGCUUACCAAGGCAACGAUCCAUAGCCGACCUGAGAGGGUGAUCGGCCACACUGGAACUGAGACACGGUCCAGACUCCUACGGGAGGCAGCAGUAGGGAAUCUUCCGCAAUGGGCGAAAGCCUGACGGAGCAACGCCGCGUGAGUGAUGAAGGUCUUCGGAUCGUAAAACUCUGUUAUUAGGGAAGAACAUAUGUGUAAGUAGCUGUGCACAUCUUGACGGUACCGAAUCAGAAAGCCACGGCUAACUACGUG